rnacentral:tRNA from 1 species
UAUGCAGUAGCUCAGUGGUAGAGCCCCGCUUCGCAUGCGGGGAGACCUGGGUUCGAUUCCCGGCUGCUUCC